GAUGAACGCUGGCGGCGUGCCUAAUACAUGCAAGUAGAACGCUGAAGGAGGAGCUUGCUCUUCUGGAAGAGUUGCGAACGGGUGAGUAACGCGUAGGUAACCUGCCUCUUAGCGGGGGAUAACUAUUGGAAACGAUAGCUAAUACCGCAUAAAAGUCGACAUUGCAUGAUGUUGACUUGAAAGGUGCAAUUGCAUCACUAAGAGAUGGACCUGCGUUGUAUUAGCUAGUUGGUGAGGUAACGGCUCACCAAGGCGACGAUACAUAGCCGACCUGAGAGGGUGAUCGGCCACACUGGGACUGAGACACGGCCCAGACUCCUACGGGAGGCAGCAGUAGGGAAUCUUCGGCAAUGGGGGCAACCCUGACCGAGCAACGCCGCGUGAGUGAAGAAGGUUUUCGGAUCGUAAAGCUCUGUUGUAAGAGAAGAACGAGUGUGAGAGUGGAAAGUUCACGCUGUGACGGUAUCUUACCAGAAAGGGACGGCUAACUACGUGCCAGCAGCCGCGGUAAUACGUAGGUCCCGAGCGUUAUCCGGAUUUAUUGGGCGUAAAGCGAGCGCAGGCGGUUAGAUAAGUCUGAAGUUAAAGGCUGUGGCUUAACCAUAGUACGCUUUGGAAACUGUUUAACUUGAGUGCAGAAGGGGAGAGUGGAAUUCCAUGUGUAGCGGUGAAAUGCGUAGAUAUAUGGAGGAACACCGGUGGCGAAAGCGGCUCUCUGGUCUGUAACUGACGCUGAGGCUCGAAAGCGUGGGGAGCAAACAGG
rnacentral:rRNA from 1 species